rnacentral:tRNA from 1 species
UCCCUGGUGAUCCAGAGGUUAGGCCUUUGCGCUUCCACUGCAGUAGACACAGGUUUGAUCCCUGGUCAGGGAA